rnacentral:rRNA from 1 species
AUUGAACGCUGGCGGCAUGCCUUACACAUGCAAGUCGAACGGUAACAGGUCUUCGGAUGCUGACGAGUGGCGAACGGGUGAGUAAUACAUCGGAACGUGCCCGAUCGUGGGGGAUAACGAAGCGAAAGCUUUGCUAAUACCGCAUAAGAUCUACGGAUGAAAGCAGGGGACCGCAAGGCCUUGCGCGAACGGAGCGGCCGAUGGCAGAUUAGGUAGUUGGUGGGAUAAAAGCUUACCAAGCCGACGAUCUGUAGCUGGUCUGAGAGGACGACCAGCCACACUGGGACUGAGACACGGCCCAGACUCCUACGGGAGGCAGCAGUGGGGAAUUUUGGACAAUGGGCGAAAGCCUGAUCCAGCCAUGCCGCGUGCAGGAUGAAGGCCUUCGGGUUGUGAACUGCUUUUGUACGGAACGAAAAGACUCUGGUUAAUACCUGGGGUCCAUGACGGUACCGUAAGAAUAAGCACCGGCUAACUACGUG